rnacentral:lncRNA from 1 species
GAGAGACUGCUUGCGUGUUUCCAUUGGAUCAACCUGGCUUUGAUACCACUGAUAGGUGGUCUACGGCUGACCCUCUGGCCAAAGAAAUUUAGAAAAGAGAUGAAGAAGAAGUAACAAGAGAGAUUGGGGCAAUUUUCUCAUAUCCUUUCUCAAAGCAAACAUUACAAUUUAAAGGGAAAAUGUAAACUACUUCUAAUAAAAU